rnacentral:rRNA from 1 species
GACGAACGCUGGUGGCGUGCUUAACACAUGCAAGUCGAACGGUAAGGCCCUUUCGGGGGUACACGGAGCGGCGAACGGGUGAGUAACACGUGGGUGACCUGCCCUCAGCUCUGGGAUAAGCCUGGGAAACCGGGUCUAAUACUGGAUAUGACUCCAUGACGCAUGUUGUGGGGUGGAAAGCCUUGUGCGGCUGAGGAUGGGCCCGCGGCCUAUCAGCUUGUUGGUGGGGUGAUGGCCUACCAAGGCGACGACGGGUAGCCGGCCUGAGAGGGCGACCGGCCACACUGGGACUGAGACACGGCCCAGACUCCUACGGGAGGCAGCAGUGGGGAAUC